rnacentral:rRNA from 1 species
UACGAAGGGGGCUAGCGUUGCUCGGAAUCACUGGGCGUAAAGCGCACGUAGGCGGGUCGUUAAGUCGGGGGUGAAAUCCUGGAGCUCAACUCCAGAACUGCCUUCGAUACUGGCGAUCUUGAGUCCGGAAGAGGUGAGUGGAAUUCCUAGUGUAGAGGUGAAAUUCGUAGAUAUUAGGAAGAACACCAGUGGCGAAGGCGGCUCACUGGUCCGGUACUGACGCUGAGGUGCGAAAGCGUGGGGAGCAAAGCAGG